ensembl:lncRNA
CAGACACGGAGGGGACAGGGUACCAAGUGUGUUACCUGGUGAGACAGGGAGGGGACAGGGUCCCAGGUGUGUUACCUGGUGAGUCAGCAGACAGGGAGGGGACAGGGUACCAGGUGUGUUACCUGGUGAGACAGCAGACAGGGAGGGGACAGGGUCCCAGGUGUGGUAGGGGUGGUGUGUGUGUACGUUGUCUCUCUUCGACACCAUGGCCUGGAUCUCUCUCUCCACGGCUCCUCUGAUCACUGACAACUUCCUGCCAAACCUGAAGGGAAGACAAGACCACCGCAAUGUCAGGAAUAACUAGUUCUCCUGUCAAUAUGAA